rnacentral:rRNA from 1 species
UGGGGAAUUUUGGACAAUGGGGGCAACCCUGAUCCAGCCAUCCCGCGUGUGCGAUGAAGGCCUUCGGGUUGUAAAGCACUUUUGGCAGGGAAGAAACAGCCUGGGAUAAUACCCCGGGCGACUGACGGUACCUGCAGAAUAAGCACCGGCUAACUACGUGCCAGCAGCCGCGGUAAUACGUAGGGUGCAAGCGUUAAUCGGAAUUACUGGGCGUAAAGCGUGCGCAGGCGGUUCGGAAAGAAAGGUGUGAAAUCCCAGGGCUUAACCUUGGAACUGCACUUUUAACUACCGAGCUAGAGUACGUCAGAGGGGGGUAGAAUUCCACGUGUAGCAGUGAAAUGCGUAGAGAUGUGGAGGAAUACCGAUGGCGAAGGCAGCCCCCUGGGCCAAUACUGACGCUCAUGCACGAAAGCGUGGGGAGCAAACAGGAUUAGAUACCCUGGUAGUCCACGCCCUAAACGAUGUCAACUAGUUGUUGGGGAUUCAUUUCCUUAGUAACGUAGCUAACGCGUGAAAGUUGACCGCCUGGGGAGUACGGUCGCAAGAUUAAAACUUAAAUGAAUUGAC